UACGGGAGGCAGCAGUGGGGAAUAUUGCACAAUGGGCGCAAGCCUGAUGCAGCCAUGCCGCGUGUAUGAAGAAGGCCUUCGGGUUGUAAAGUACUUUCUAGUCGUGAGGAAGGUGGUUAAGGUUAAUAACCUUAGCAAUUGACGUUAGCGACAGAAGAAGCACCGGCUAACUCCGUGCCAGCAGCCGCGGUAAUACGGAGGGUGCGAGCGUUAAUCGGAAUUACUGGGCGUAAAGGGCACGCAGGCGGUUAAUUAAGUUGGAUGUGAAAUCCCCGGGCUUAACCUGGGAAUGGCAUUCAAGACUGGUUAGCUAGAGUCUUGUAGAGGGGGUAGAAUUCCAUGUGUAGCGGUGAAAUGCGUAGAGAUGUGGAGGAAUACCGGUGGCGAAGGCGGCCCCUGGACAAAGACUGACGCUCAUGUGCG
rnacentral:rRNA from 1 species